rnacentral:rRNA from 1 species
AUGCCUAUGUUCAUGAAGGAAAAGUACAGCUUCCCGUGUUCGGUUUUCUCAGACGAGGCAGCUGCAACUUCAAUCCAGACUCUUCGCCUCUUCGAUUGUCAUCUUCAUCCCACGUCGACACUUGGCCACUUGCGAAGAUUGACAUGUUUACAAUUAUCUUCUGUCCGCAUUACCGAUGAAGAAUUAGGGCUCUUGCUCUCGAGAACUUCCGCCCUGGAGCGGCUGGACCUCUUCUCUUGCAGUGGGAUAAUUCGCUUGCGAAUACCUUGUACGCUUCAACAACUCAAUUCCUUGUGUAUUAUCGAAUGCCUGACGAUGCUCCAGGUGGUAGAGAUCGAUGCUCCAAAUCUCUGCUCCUUCCGUUGUGGUAGUAUCCAUUUUGAUCGUACCUAG